rnacentral:tRNA from 1 species
GAGAUACAAAAAAGUUGGCUUCUAACCAACUAAAAAGCUUAGGUUUAUAUCUCU